CAAUAGCGUAUAUUAACGUUGUUGCAGUUAAAAAGCUCGUAGUUGGAUUUCUGGAGGGAGCGUCGGCCCGUAUUUACGAGUGCGUGACGUCUCUGUCCAUCCUUGCGGGAAGGCACGGCAUUGAUUUGUUGUGUCGGAUCGCAUCAUUUACUGUGAAAAAAUUAGAGUGUUCAAAGCAGGCUUUCGCUUGAAUACAUUAGCAUGGAAUAAUAAGAUAGGACUUUGGUGCUGUUUUGUUGGUUGAGCCUAAAGUAAUGAUUAAUAGGGAUAGUUGGGGGCACCUGUAUUGCGUUGUCAGAGGUGAAAUUCUUGGAUUUACGCAAGACAAACAGCUGCGAAANCGNNNGCCAAGGAUGUUUUCAUNAA
rnacentral:rRNA from 1 species